rnacentral:rRNA from 1 species
AUUGAACGCUGGCGGCAUGCCUUACACAUGCAAGUCGAACGGCAGCAUAGAGAGCUUGCUCUCUGAUGGCGAGUGGCGAACGGGUGAGUAAAGCAUCGGAACGUACCGUGUAGUGGGGGAUAACGUAGCGAAAGUUACGCUAAUACCGCAUACGUACUGAGGUAGAAAGCAGGGGAUCGUAAGCACUUGCGCUAUACGAGCGGCCGAUGUCAGAUUAGCUAGUUGGUAGGGUAAAGGCCUACCAAGGCGACGAUCUGUAGCGGGUCUGAGAGGAUGAUCCGCCACACUGGGACUGAGACACGGCCCAGACUCCUACGGGAGGCAGCAGUGGGGAAUUUUGGACAAUGGGGGCAACCCUGAUCCAGCCAUGCCGCGUGAGUGAAGAAGGCCUUCGGGUUGUAAAGCUCUUUCGGCCGGGAAGAAAUCGCACAGGCUAAUACCCUGUGUGGAUGACGGUACCGGCAUAAGAAGCACCGGCUAACUACGUGCCAGCCGCCGCCGUAA